CCCUUAGAUGUUCUGGGCUGCACGCGCGCUACACUGUCGGAUUCAGCGAGUCAUAUCCUUAACCGAAAGGUUUGGGUAAUCUUUUGAAAGUCCGACGUGAUGGGGAUUGAUCAUUGCAAUUAUUGAUCAUGAACGAGGAAUUCCUAGUAAGCGCGAGUCAUCAGCUCGCGUUGAUUACGUCCCUGCCCUUUGUACACACCGCCCGUCGCUACUACCGAUUGAAUGGUUUAGUGAGAUCUUCGGAUUGGCGCCUACGCGGCUUCUCUGAGGCCACGCUGGAUGCCGAAAAGUUGCUCAAACUGUAUCAUUUAGAGGGAGUAAAAGUCGUAACA
rnacentral:rRNA from 1 species